ACAGAUGUCGUUUCAAUUCCGAAGACUAAUGAGAACUUCCGUCUCCUUUAUGACACUAAGGGCCGAUUCCGUCUUCACUCGCUCAGGGACGAGGAGUCAAAGUUUAAGCUUUGCAAGGUCCGCUCUGUGCAGUUUGGUCAGAAGGGGAUCCCAUACCUGAACACUUACGAUGGAAGAACAAUCCGCUAUCCUGAUCCUCUCAUCAAGGCCAACGAUACUAUAAAGCUGGACUUGGAAUCCAAUAAGAUUGUUGAUUUCAUCAAGUUUGACGUUGGGAAUGUUGUGAUGGUGACUGGAGGUA